GAUGAACGCUGGCGGCGUGCCUAAUACAUGCAAGUCGAGCGAACGGACGAGAAGCUUGCUUCUCUGAUGUUAGCGGCGGACGGGUGAGUAACACGUGGACAACCUACCUAUAAGACUGGGAUAACUUCGGGAAACCGGAGCUAAUACCGGAUAAUAUUUUGAACCGCAUGGUUCAAAAGUGAAAGACGGUCUUGCUGUCACUUAUAGAUGGAUCCGCGCUGCAUUAGCUAGUUGGUAAGGUAACGGCUUACCAAGGCAACGAUGCAUAGCCGACCUGAGAGGGUGAUCGGCCACACUGGAACUGAGACACGGUCCAGACUCCUACGGGAGGCAGCAGUAGGGAAUCUUCCGCAAUGGGCGAAAGCCUGACGGAGCAACGCCGCGUGAGUGAUGAAGGUCUUCGGAUCGUAAAACUCUGUUAUUAGGGAAGAACAUAUGUGUAAGUAACUGUGCACAUCUUGACGGUACCUAAUCAGAAAGCCACGGCUAACUACGUGCCAGCAGCCGCGGUAAUACGUAGGUGGCAAGCGUUAUCCGGAAUUAUUGGGCGUAAAGCGCGCGUAGGCGGUUUUUUAAGUCUGAUGUGAAAGCCCACGGCUCAACCGUGGAGGGUCAUUGGAAACUGGAAAACUUGAGUGCAGAAGAGGAAAGUGGAAUUCCAUGUGUAGCGGUGAAAUGCGCAGAGAUAUGGAGGAACACCAGUGGCGAAGGCGACUUUCUGGUCUGUAACUGACGCUGAUGUGCGAAAGCGUGGGGAUCAAACAGG
rnacentral:rRNA from 1 species